GCCUGGAUGGCUCAGUGGGUUAAGUGUCCGACUUCAACUCAGGUCAUGAUCUCGCGGCCCAUGGGUUCGAGCCCCGUGUCAGGCU
rnacentral:tRNA from 1 species